rnacentral:tRNA from 1 species
GCGGGUAUGGCGGAACUGGUAGACGCGCCGCACUCAAAAUGCGGUGCCCAAAAGGCGUGGGGGUUCGAUUCCCUCUACCCGCACCA